rnacentral:rRNA from 1 species
UGGGGAAUUUUGGACAAUGGGCGAAAGCCUGAUCCAGCAAUGCCGCGUGUGUGAAGAAGGCCUUCGGGUUGUAAAGCACUUUUGUCCGGAAAGAAAUCCUUGGCUCUAAUACAGUCGGGGGAUGACGGUACCGGAAGAAUAAGCACCGGCUAACUACGUGCCAGCAGCCGCGGUAAUACGUAGGGUGCAAGCGUUAAUCGGAAUUACUGGGCGUAAAGCGUGCGCAGGCGGUUUGCUAAGACCGAUGUGAAAUCCCCGGGCUCAACCUGGGAACUGCAUUGGUGACUGGCAGGCUAGAGUAUGGCAGGAGGGGGGUAGAAUUCCACGUGUAGCAGUGAAAUGCGUAGAGAUGUGGAGGAAUACCGAUGGCGAAGGCAGCCCCUGGGCCAAUACUGACGCUCAUGCACGAAAGCGUGGGGAGCAAACAGGAUUAGAUACCCUGGUAGUCCACGCCCUAAACGAUGUCAACUAGUUGUUGGGGAUUCAUUUCCUUAGUAACGUAGCUAACGCGUGAAGUUGACCGCCUGGGGAGUACGGUCGCAAGAUUAAAACUCAAAGGAAUUGACGGGGUCAUAGCUGUUUCC